CCUACGGGAGGCAGCAGUGAGGGAUAUUGGUCAAUGGGGGAAACCCUGAACCAGCAACGCCGCGUGAGGGAAGACGGUUUUCGGAUUGUAAACCUCUGUCCUCUGUGAAGAUAAUGACGGUAGCAGAGGAGGAAGCUCCGGCUAACUACGUGCCAGCAGCCGCGGUAAUACGUAGGAGGCAAGCGUUAUCCGGAAUGACUGGGCGUAAAGGGUGCGUAGGUGGUUUGGCAAGUUGGUAGCGUAAUCCCGGGGCUCAACCUCGGUGCUACUACCAACACUGUUGAACUUGAGUGCAGGAGGGGUGAAUGGAAUUCCCAGUGUAGCGGUGGAAUGCGUAGAUAUUGGGAAGAACACCAGCGGCGAAGGCGAUUCACUGGACUGUAACUGACACUGAGGCACGAAAGCGUGGGGAGCAAACAGGAUUAGAUACCCUAGUAGUC
rnacentral:rRNA from 1 species